rnacentral:lncRNA from 1 species
GUCCAUACCCAGCCCCCAGCCUGCAGGCUAGAGACUCUGAAGUGGCAUGAGGCCAGCCUGCUAGGAGUGCUCAUUCGACCUACAGUAAAGCAUUGGAAAGCCAGGGAAUUCUGUCACCCAUAAUUCUAGUUCCCUUUCCUUGAACCUUCCAGAGAGGUGCUUUCCAUGCUUCAAUCUUCCCAAGAGCUCCUCCAGAUGGGCAUUAUCCAACUUAUUUUACAGAUAAGGCUGAGGCUUAUAGUGGUCAAUAAACUUGCCAAAGGCAAAAGGCCAGGCACAGUGGUUUGCACCUGUAAUCCCAACACUUCGGGAGGUCUAGGUGGGAGGAUCGCUUGAAGCCUGGAGAUUGAAACUAGCCUGAGCACCAAAGCAAGAGUUCAUCUCUAACAACAACAACAACAAAAUUAGCCAGGUGUUGUGGUAGGCACCUGUAGUCCCAGCUACUUGGGAGGUUGAGAUGGGAGGAUCACUUGAACCUGGGCCACAGAGUGAGAUCCUGUCAAAAAAAAAAAAAAAAGAAGGAAGGAAGGAAAGAAAGGCAGUGCUGAUAUAUGUUACAACAUGGAUGAACCUUGGAAACACUAUGUUAAAUGAAAGAAACCAGUCACAAAGAACUGCAGAUUGUAUGAUUCCAUUCAUACAAAAUUCCAUUUAUAUGUCCCAGAACAGGCAAAUCUAUAAAGACAGAAAGUAGAUUAGUGGUUGCCUAGGGCAGGGGAAUGGGAGGGGAUUGAGAAGUGAUGGCUAAGCGGUACAAUGGUUCUUUUGGGGUCUAAUGAAAAUUUUCUCAAAUUGUGAUAAUGGACGUACAAUUCUGUGAAUAUAUAAAAGCCACUGAACUCUACACUUUAAGUGGGUAA